AACGUAGGGGGCGAGCGUUAUCCGGAUUUACUGGGCGUAAAGAGCGCGCAGGCGGUCGUGCAAGUCGCGUGUGAAAGCCCCCGGCUCAACUGGGGAGGGUCACGCGAUACUGCUCGACUCGAAGGCAGGAGAGGGAAGUGGAAUUCCCGGUGUAGUGGUGAAAUGCGUAGAUAUCGGGAGGAACACCAGUGGCGAAGGCGACUUCCUGGCCUGUUCUUGACGCUGAGGCGCGAAAGCUAGGGUAGCAAACGGG
rnacentral:rRNA from 1 species